GUGGCUUGGAAGACCGACGCGAUGAAGCCCAGACCUGCAGGGUUCGUGGAUAAUAAACUCAAGCAGCGAGUGAUCCAGUACCUUACCAGUAACAAAUGUGGCAAAUAUGUGGACAUUGGAGUCUUAGCGUCUGAUUUACAAAGAAUGUACAGUGUAGACUAUGGUCGAAGAAAAAGAAAUGCUUUUAGGAUUCAGGUAGAAAAAGUAUUUAGCAUAAUUAGUAGUGAGAAGGAACUUAAGAAUUUAACAGAAUUAGAAGAUGAACAUUUGGCAAAAAGAGCAAGACAAGGUGAAGAGGAUAAUGAACAGCGUCUUGCUCUGUCACCCAGGCUUCAGUGCACUGGCACAAUCAUGGCUUACCGCAGUCUUGAUGUCCCAGGCCCAAGCGAUCCUCCCACCUCAGCCUCACAAGUAGCUGGGAUUACAGGUGUGCGCCAGCAUGCCCAGCUAAUUUUUUAAUUUUUUUGUAGAGACAGAGUCUCCCGUAGUUGCCCAGGCUAGAAUUUGUAUCUUAAUAUCUUAAUUAUAACAGCAUUUCAUUGCAUUCAUAUAAAGCUUUCUACCUUAACAAAAAAUUAUUUAAAUAAGAAAAGGACUUUUUUUUUUUUUCUUAUUUAAAUAAUUUUUUUUUGUUUUUUAGACAGUCUCGUACUGUGGGCCAGGCUGGAGCGUAGUGGCACGAUCUUGGCUCACUGCAACCUCCAUCUCCCGGGCUCAAGUAAUUCUCCUGCCUCAGCCUCCCGAGUAGCUGGGAUUACAGGUGUGUUUUCACCAUGCCUGGCUAACUUUUGUAUUUUUAGUAGAGACGGGGUUUCACCAUGUUGGCCAGGCUAGUCUCUAACUCCUGACCUCAGGUAAUCCACCUGCCUCGGCCUCCCAAAGUGCUGGGAUUACAGGCGUGAGCCACCGCGCCGGG
rnacentral:sRNA from 1 species